CCUACGGGUGGCAGCAGUGAGGAAUAUUGGUCAAUGGGCUUACGCCUGAACCAGCCAAGUCGCGUGAGGGAAGACUGCCCUAUGGGUUGUAAACCUCUUUUGUCAGGGAGCAACGCCGGCUACGUGUAGCCGGACUGAGAGUACCUGAAGAAACAGCAUGGGCUAACUCCGUGCCAGCAGCCGCGGUAAUACGGAGGAUGCGAGCGUUAUCCGGAUUUAGUGGGUUUUAAGGGUGCGUAGGCGGAAUGCCAAGUCAGCGGUAAAGUCGCGGGGCUCAACCUCGCGCCGCCGUUGAACCUGGCGUUCUUGAGUGGGCGAGAAGUAUGUGGAAUGCGUGGUGUAGCGGGGAAAUGCAUAGAUAUCACGCAGAACGCCGAUUGCGAAGGCAGCAUACCGGCGCCCAACUGACGCUGAGGCACGAAAGCGUGGGUAUCGAACAGGAUUAGAUACCCGAGUAGUC
rnacentral:rRNA from 1 species